CCUACGGGGUGCUGCAGUGGGGAAUAUUGCACAAUGGGCGCAAGCCUGAUGCAGCCAUGCCGCGUGUGUGAAGAAGGCCUUCGGGUUGUAAAGCACUUUCAGCGGGGAGGAAGGCGUUAAGGUUAAUAACCUUGUCGAUUGACGCUACCCGCAGAAGAAGCACCGGCUAACUCCGUGCCAGCAGCCGCGGUAAUACGGAGGGUGCAAGCGUUAAUCGGAAUUACUGGGCGUAAAGCGCACGCAGGCGGUCUGUCAAGUCGGAUGUGAAAUCCCCGGGCUCAACCUGGGAACUGCAUUCGAAACUGGCAGGCUAGAGUCUUGUAGAGGGGGGUAGAAUUCCAGGUGUAGCGGUGAAAUGCGUAGAGAUCUGGAGGAAUACCGGUGGCGAAGGCGGCCCCCUGGACAAAGACUGACGCUCAGGUGCGAAAGCGUGGGGAGCAAACAGGAUUAGAUACCCGUGUAGUC
rnacentral:rRNA from 1 species